rnacentral:rRNA from 1 species
AUUGAACGCUGGCGGCAGGCCUAACACAUGCAAGUCGAGCGGAGCGGCGGACGGGUGAGUAAUACCUAGGAAUCUGCCUGGUAGUGGGGGAUAACGGUCGGAAACGGACGCUAAUACCGCAUACUAUCAGAUGAGCCUAGGUCGGAUUAGCUUGUUGGUGUGGUAAUGGCUCACCAAGGCAACGAUCUGUAACUGGUCGGAGAGGAUGAUCAGCCACACUGUACCUUAGACCCGGUCUAGAUUCCUACGGGAGGCAGCAGUGGGGAAUAUUGGACAAUGGGCGAAAGCCUGAUCAAGCCAUGCAGCGUGUGUGAAGAAGGUCUUCGGAUUGUAAAGCACGUUAAGUUGGGAGGCGUUACCGACAGAAUAAGCACCGGCUAACUCGGUGCAAGCAGCCGCGGUAAUUC